rnacentral:lncRNA from 1 species
CUCUUGACCUCAGUUGAUCUGCCUGCCUCGGCCUCCCAAAGUGUUGGGAUUACAGGUGUGAGCCACUGCGCCUGGUCCCGUCUCGUAUACUUUAGAUCAUCUCUAGGUUAAUUAUAAUGCCUAGUACAAUGUAAAUGAUAUGUAAAUAGUCAUUAUACUGUACUAUUUGUAUUGUUAUAUUGUUAUUUUUCUCUAAAUAUUUUUGAUCCAUAGUUGGUUGAAUCCACGGAUGUUUGGAUCCAGCCCCUGGAUACGGAGGGCUGACUUUAAUCUUCCCCCAUCCUUAAGUAUCCUGUGAAGUUAUAAAUGAUGUGUGCCAUGUCUUACACCAGCAACUGUGCCCCCUUGGCCUGGGCACAUGUGGCAACUGUCCAUGCAUCAUGUUGUUUAGGUGAGCUUGCUGUUUCUGUCCCUACUGCUGUUGGCCCAACUAGGAAAUAUGAACUAGGUAAAUAAUUUUCAAAAAUCCAGACAUUAACUUAUUUGCCUCUGUAGGAGUCUUUUUUCCAGAGCUGAUGAUAACAAGACAGUUUCCUCUGCAGCUUCUUUCACCUGGCAUCUAUUUCACAGAGGAGGGAGAGGAGGGAAGGAAAUUGUAAUUCACAGUGAUGUUAUCAGCCAGCACCAUGCCUGGGAGAUCACCAGUGCAGGAGAGGUAUAAAAUGCUCCAGGGGCAAGGUUCUGAGAAGAUGCCCUGCCACUGUAUGAGGCCACAACCUGCUGUGUAUAACCUCAUCUAAGCACAGAGAAGCACCAGACUGAGCGUGGGAAAUGAUAAAGCAAACUGUGGACUUGAAUGAAAGACAUACAGGUAUUCUUUGUAUUUUUAUAGUUAGCUUCUGAGUCUGAAAUUAUUUCCCAAAUAAAAAGUUAAAAACAAAUCUCUACUGAACAAUGUACAUCUUCCAAGAGAUUUCCUUGUAGCUAAACUACUGAUAAGCUUAGGUUCAUAAAAGUCUAUCUAGCAUCCAGUGACUAA